rnacentral:rRNA from 1 species
CUUGGUCAUUUAGAGGAAGUAAAAGUCGUAACAAGGUCUCCGUUGGUGAACCAGCGGAGGGAUCAUUACCGAGUUUACAACUCCCAAACCCCUGUGAACAUACCACUUGUUGCCUCGGCGGAUCAGCCCGCUCCCGGUAAAACGGGACGGCCCGCCAGAGGACCCCUAAACUCUGUUUCUAUAUGUAACUUCUGAGUAAAACCAUAAAUAAAUCAAAACUUUCAACAACGGAUCUCUUGGUUCUGGCAUCGAUGAAGAACGCAGCAAAAUGCGAUAAGUAAUGUGAAUUGCAGAAUUCAGUGAAUCAUCGAAUCUUUGAACGCACAUUGCGCCCGCCAGUAUUCUGGCGGGCAUGCCUGUUCGAGCGUCAUUUCAACCCUCAAGCCCUCGGGUUUGGUGUUGGGGAUCGGCGAGCCUUUCUGGCAAGCCGGCCCCGAAAUCUAGUGGCGGUCUCGCUGCAGCCUCCAUUGCGUAGUAGUAAAACCCUCGCAACUGGAACGCGGCGCGGCCAAGCCGUUAAACCCCCAACUUCUGAAUGUUGACCUCGGAUCAGGUAGGAAUACCCGCUGAACUUAAGCAUAUCAAUAAGCGGAGGA